rnacentral:rRNA from 1 species
GCAAGUCGAGCGAACAGAUAAGGAGCUUGCUCCUUUGACGUUAGCGGCGGACGGGUGAGUAACACGUGGGUAACCUACCUAUAAGACUGGGAUAACUUCGGGAAACCGGAGCUAAUACCGGAUAACAUUUGGAACCGCAUGGUUCUAAAGUGAAAGAUGGUUUUGCUAUCACUUAUAGAUGGACCCGCGCCGUAUUAGCUAGUUGGUAAGGUAACGGCUUACCAAGGCGACGAUACGUAGCCGACCUGAGAGGGUGAUCGGCCACACUGGAACUGAGACACGGUCCAGACUCCUACGGGAGGCAGCAGUAGGGAAUCUUCCGCAAUGGGCGAAAGCCUGACGGAGCAACGCCGCGUGAGUGAUGAAGGGUUUCGGCUCGUAAAACUCUGUUAUUAGGGAAGAACAAACGUGUAAGUAACUGUGCACGUCUUGACGGUACCUAAUCAGAAAGCCACGGCUAACUACGUGCCAGCAGCCGCGGUAAUACGUAGGUGGCAAGCGUUAUCCGGAAUUAUUGGGCGUAAAGCGCGCGUAGGCGGUUUCUUAAGUCUGAUGUGAAAGCCCACGGCUCAACCGUGGAGGGUCAUUGGAAACUGGGAAACUUGAGUGCAGAAGAGGAAAGUGGAAUUCCAUGUGUAGCGGUGAAAUGCGCAGAGAUAUGGAGGAACACCAGUGGCGAAGGCGACUUUCUGGUCUGUAACUGACGCUGAUGUGCGAAAGCGUGGGGAUCAAACAGGAUUAGAUACCCUGGUAGUCCACGCCGUAAACGAUGAGUGCUAAGUGUUAGGGGGUUUCCGCCCCUUAGUGCUGCAGCUAACGCAUUAAGCACUCCGCCUGGGGAGUACGACCGCAAGGUUGAAACUCAAAGGAAUUGACGGGGACCCGCACAAGCGGUGGAGCAUGUGGUUUAAUUCGAAGCAACGCGAAGAACCUUACCAAAUCUUGACAUCCUUUGAAAACUCUAGAGAUAGAGCCUUCCCCUUCGGGGGACAAAGUGACAGGUGGUGCAUGGUUGUCGUCAGCUCGUGUCGUGAGAUGUUGGGUUAAGUCCCGCAACGAGCGCAACCCUUAAGCUUAGUUGCCAUCAUUAAGUUGGGCACUCUAGGUUGACUGCCGGUGACAAACCGGAGGAAGGUGGGGAUGACGUCAAAUCAUCAUGCCCCUUAUGAUUUGGGCUACACACGUGCUACAAUGGACAAUACAAAGGGCAGCUAAACCGCGAGGUCAUGCAAAUCCCAUAAAGUUGUUCUCAGUUCGGAUUGUAGUCUGCAACUCGACUACAUGAAGCUGGAAUCGCUAGUAAUCGUAGAUCAGCAUGCUACGGUGAAUACGUUCCCGGGUCUUGUACACACCGCCCGUCACACCACGAGAGUUUGUAACACCCGAAGCCGGUGGAGUAACCAUUUAUGGGAGCUAGCCGUCGAAGG